rnacentral:rRNA from 1 species
GAUGAACGCUAGCGGGAGGCCUAACACAUGCAAGCCGAGCGGUAGAGAUUCUUCGGAAUCUUGAGAGCGGCGCACGGGUGCGGAACACGUGUGCAACCUGCCUUUAUCUGGGGGAUAGCCUUUCGAAAGGAAGAUUAAUACCCCAUAAUAUAUUGAAUGGCAUCAUUUGAUAUUGAAAACUCCGGUGGAUAGAGAUGGGCACGCGCAGGAUUAGAUAGUUGGUGAGGUAACGGCUCACCAAGUCAACGAUCCUUAGGGGGCCUGAGAGGGUGAUCCCCCACACUGGUACUGAGACACGGACCAGACUCCUACGGGAGGCAGCAGUGAGGAAUAUUGGACAAUGGGUGAGAGCCUGAUCCAGCCAUCCCGCGUGAAGGAUGACGGCCCUAUGGGUUGUAAACUUCUUUUGUAUAGGGAUAAACCUACUCUCGUGAGAGUAGCUGAAGGUACUAUACGAAUAAGCACCGGCUAACUCCGUGCCAGCAGCCGCAGUAACAC